CUUGCAUUUGUGAGGACAGGAACAUAAACUACGUCCUAGGGGUUCCUGUCUGAUGUCUUGCAAU
rfam:Colius striatus contig55431, whole genome shotgun sequence.